rnacentral:rRNA from 1 species
UACGUAGGGGACAAGCGUUAUCCGGAUUUACUGGGUGUAAAGGGAGCGUAGGCGGCUAAUCAAGUCAGAAGUGAAAUCCCGCGGCUCAACUGCGGGACUGCUUUUGAAACUGAGGAGCUGGAGUACUGGAGGGGCAAGCGGAAUUCCUGGUGUAGCGGUGAAAUGCGUAGAUAUCAGGAAGAACACCGGAGGCGAAGGCGGCUUGCUGGACAGAGACUGACGCUGAGGCUCGAAGGCGUGGGGAG